UAGUGCAGGCUGUAUUGCGGCUGCUCGGAGGAGACGUCACCUCGCCAGGACCCGAGCUGAUUAUCUUCCCUUGGAUGCUUCAAAUGAUCGUCAGCUUUCUCGGAGAAGAGAAGGCGGUGAUUCAGAGGAUGAGGACGAGCCUGAGAGAGGCUGUGUCUUUUACUGAUGGAUGUCCAGAAGAAUGUGAGACUUGCCCAGUGAAGAGUGCAGUGCAAAGUUGUGCCCUUGACCUUGACAAAAGACCAUAAUGCUUGGCGGUCCUUGAGGCUUAUGUGGGCUGUUCCUGCUCUCCACACACUGACAUUACGACUGUUAUGGGAAAGGGGUAAAAACAAACCACAAACAAAAACCAACCAACCAGAGCCAGCCAGCCCUUUGGAAGUAAGCAGACUUACUGCAUGCCAAGCGUAUGUGGCUUUUCGGUUGCUCCUUAACUUCACAUCCAGUAUAACUGGUGUUCUUAGGUCCUCAUACUCCAUUUGUGUCUGGAAACCCCUCAGUUUUUGCUGUCCAGAAGAUUGCAGAAGUUUUUAGCAGCAGACCUCGGUCAUGGACUCGAUUGCUCCAAGUCACUGUGUUUGGGUUAGAUUUUGCCCUACAGACUCCUGCUGUUUUAGAACGCAGAAUGUCAUUUAAUUUCUAUGUUGAUGUGGUUGGAGUCUUUAAGUUAUAAUUACAGUCAAGCCAAGUUGUCAGAAUGAAACUUCUAUCUUCAUCUUUGUUGUUUGACUGUAGCUUAUUUCUACUUUUCAUAUUAAAAACUGUACUGCUUGUGAGGUUUCAGCUGUUGAUAUUGAACCGCUAUAUAUUGCGGGAAGCCAUUGAUGUCUUCAGACUGAGAGGAGGGCUGCUUUACCCUAAAUUACAGAUUGCUUUGUACUGAUGGAUGUGAAUGCUGUAUGCAUUUUACACCAUAAGUACACAGCUUUUUGUAUAUACGCUUUCCCUUUUGUGGUGUACAGAAAUUACCCAAUCUGAUCAUUCCAAUGUACAUCUUUUUGUCAUAUGCUUUAUAUGUUCACAUGGUGUGUUUUGCUGACCUCUAAAGCUGCAGAGGCAAAACUUACAUCAAUUGUGUAUAAACUUAUAUUUAAUUUGCAUAAACUAUGUAUUGAAAGUGUUGCAGUUCUCUCAGGAAACUUACAGCAAUGCUUCCCUGUGUAAAUCUCAACCAGCUAAACCCACAUUUGGUCCCUGUGUUUCCUUACCAGCUGUGAACUUGGAAACUAU